GUAGGUGGCAAGCGUUGUCCGGAAUUAUUGGGCGUAAAGCGCGCGCAGGCGGUCCUUUAAGUCUGAUGUGAAAGCCCACGGCUCAACCGUGGAGGGUCAUUGGAAACUGGGGGACUUGAGUACAGAAGAGGAAAGCGGAAUUCCAAGUGUAGCGGUGAAAUGCGUAGAGAUUUGGAGGAACACCAGUGGCGAAGGCGGCUUUCUGGUCUGUAACUGACGCUGAGGCGCGAAAGCGUGGGGAGCAAACAGGGAUUAGAUACCCUGGUAGUCCACGCCGUAGACGAUGAGUGCUAAGUGUUAGGGGGGUUUCCGCCCCCUUAGUGCUGCAGCUAACGCAUUAAGCACUCCGCCUGGGGAUACGGCCGCAAGGCUG
rnacentral:rRNA from 1 species